CCUACGGGCGGCAGCAGUUAGGAAUAUUGGGCAAUGGAGGAAACUCUGACCCAGCAACGCCGCGUGAAGGAAGAAGGUUUUCGGAUUGUAAACUUCUGAUCUGUGGGACGAAGAAAGUGACGGUACCACAGGAGAAAGCCACGGCUAACUACGUGCCAGCAGCCGCGGUAAUACGUAGGUGGCGAGCGUUGUCCGGAAUAACUGGGCGUAAAGGGAGCGUAGGUGGUUGAUUAAGUUAAAUGUGAAAGCCCAGGGCUCAACUCGGGAACUGCAUUUAAUACGGGUCGGCUAGAGUACAGGAGGGGAAAACGGAAGUUGUAGUGUAGCGUUGAAAUGCGGAGAUAUUAGGAAGAACACAGGAGGCGAAGGGGGUUGACUGGACUGCAACUGACACGGGGGCUCGAAAGCGUGGGGAGAAAAAAGGAUGAGAAACCCAAGUAGUC
rnacentral:rRNA from 1 species